rnacentral:rRNA from 1 species
AGAGCGAACGCUGGCGGCAGGCCUAACACAUGCAAGUCGAGCGCCCCGCAAGGGGAGCGGCAGACGGGAGAGUAACACGUGGGAACGUACCCUUUGGUUCGGAACAACACAGGGAAACUUGUGCUAAUACCGGAUAAGCCCUUACGGGGAAAGAUUUAUUGCCAAAGGAUCGGCCCGCGUCUGAUUAGCUUGUUGGUGAGGUAACGGCUCACCAAGGCGACGACGGGUAGCC